rnacentral:rRNA from 1 species
AUGAGUUGUGGUUAGGGGUGAAAUACCAAUCGAAUUCGGAGCUAGCUGGUUCUCCCCGAAAUGUGUUUAGGCGCAGCGGUUAAUAUUAUAGCUUAGAGGUAAAGCACUGUUUCGGUGCGGGCUGGUAAUUCGGUACCAAAUCGAGGCAAACUCUGAAUACUAAGUGAACAGUUAACCAGUAAGACUGUGGGGGAUAAGCUUCAUAGUCAAGAGGGAAACAGCCCAGAUCACCAGUUAAGGCCCCUAAAUAAUUAUUAAGUGGUAAAGGAGGUGGGAAGACUCAGACAGCCAGGA